CUCUUUGAUCGUACCAUAUACAGUUGAUUUCAACAGGAGACAAGAACGAUUGGAUAUUUUUGUACGGUUAUGGAUUAUCCGUGUUUGAUGAAAUGUUACAUAUGAUCAAGUGGAGCAGUUGUUAAAAUUCUCUUUGUUUUAUGAUUCUUAUGUUUUCCAAUUGCCUUUUUUUCUACUAAUAUAAUUAUAUAACAUGUACACUUGCAGACAGUUUGUGCAUAUGCAGAAUGCAUC
rnacentral:lncRNA from 1 species